UAAAAUUAUUGGCGGAGUCGCGGUGACCCCAAGCGCAGUAAUUCUUUUUCUCGCUUUAGGUGUUAACGCUGGCUUCUGGCCACUAAACCCCCCCUAUUCCUAAUGGUUGACCUCGGAUCAGGUAGGACUACCCGCUGAACUUAAGCAUA
rnacentral:rRNA from 1 species